rnacentral:tRNA from 1 species
GGGUUCCAAGCUCAUGAGGAUGAGCAGCCGGUUCUUAACCGGCAGGCAGCCGGUUCGAUUCCGGCGGGACCCACCA